rnacentral:rRNA from 1 species
CGAGCACGCGCGUGUGGCAUAUCAAUAAGCGGAGGAAAAGAAACUAACAAGGAUUCCCUAGUAACGGCGAGUGGAGCGGGAAGAGCUCAAAUUUGAAAUCUUAAAGGUUCUACCUUGACGAAUUGUAGUUUAUAGAAGUGUUUUCUGUUGGAGUUUCGGUAAAAGUUCUUUGGAAUAGGACAUCAUAGAGGGUGAGAAUCCCGUAUUUGACCAUUACUUUCCAGCUGUGUGAUACACUUUCAAAGAGUCGGAUUGUUUGGGAAUGCAGUCCAAAAUGGGUGGUAAAUUUCAUCUAAAGCUAAAUAUUGGCGAGAGACCGAUAGCGAACAAGUACCGUGAGGGAAAGAUGAAAAGAACUUUGAAAAGAGAGUUAAACAGUACGUGAAAUUGUCAAAAGGGAAGCGUUUGACACCAGUGUUGUUUUUCGAAAAUCAAUUAAAUAUUUUUCGAUUUUAAGUAGUAUUGACCUUAUCAGCUUGCUGCUUUUUUCUCGGAAAUUAUUUAAUGCACUUUUCAGUUAACAAGUCAACAUCAAUUUCUUUUGUUGUAAAAAGGUAAGAGGAAGGUGGCUUGCGCUUCGGCUCAAGUGUUUAUAGCCUUUUACCCCUGCAAUCGGAGAGAUUGAGGUCUGCAGCGUAGAUCCUUCGGGGUUAGAUACAUUUGUGCUAAGCUAUAGCCUUGUAUAGACAACUUGUUGACUAUGCUCAGUCAUGUAGCUUACUCGCUUAUGCUAUUUUACCUACGCUUAGGAUGUUGAGUAGCGACAUACGCAC